rnacentral:rRNA from 1 species
UACGGAGGGGGCUAGCGUUGUUCGGAAUUACUGGGCGUAAAGCGCACGUAGGCGGCUUUGUAAGUUAGAGGUGAAAGCCCGGGGCUCAACCCCGGAAUAGCCUUUAAGACUGCAUCGCUUAAACACGGGAGAGGUGAGUGGAAUUCCGAGUGUAGAGGUGAAAUUCGUAGAUAUUCGGAAGAACACCAGUGGCGAAGGCGGCUCACUGGACCGUUGUUGACGCUGAGGUGCGAAAGCGUGGGGAGCAAACAGG